rnacentral:lncRNA from 1 species
UUCAGUGGCCAUCUCUGGUCACCUAAUGUCGUGUUUAAAAAGGAUCGACAAAAUCCACUCGUCCGGACAAUCAGUCAUGAACUCAUGUUCCCAUCCAGCAAAAGAGAUCAUCCAGAAUUCUACUAGUAUGCAUUAUCCACAUGAAAAAGGAGCUCAAACUGAAAGGCCCCCAGAUCUCACCAGAACUAUUUACAAAGGAGCCAUGGAAAAAUCGGUCUCAUUUCCACCGCUGUGGAUAACAAGAGACAUCACAGUACAACUAGUACAGUCGGUCUGUACACCAAACGAAUCAACAGAAUGAACCGAAAGAGGCAAAACAGACGAUCUGGAUGGACCUAUCGGAUCGGACGAGGCUUGGCAGAGGCAGUCGGCUGGAUCGAUCAGCCUCGGGUGGUGACGCGGAGGGCGUACGGCGGCGGGGGCGGCGCCAGCGGCGGGGCAACGAAGGGGAGGCUCCGCAGCAUGAGCGUGCGCAUCCGGCGGGGGAACGGCGCGCCGUUGAGCAGCUGCUCCAGCACCUCCGCCACCAGCAUCGUGUAGUCCUCCAGCAGCUCCGCCACUAUCCCCACCAGGAACAUCGCCGACGACAACCUUCGCCUUCGCCUUGGCUUCGCGGUGCGGUAAGAAAAGGAAUCGGUUUUCGCUCGCUCGGGAUUUGUGUGUGUACUCUACUUUGGAUGUGGAUGUGGAUGCGGUGUUGACUUGUUACCGUCCGGGAGGUGAGCAAGCGUCCGCGGCUUUUAAAAGGGGUCGGGUUCCGGCGCGUCGUGUCCUGUGGGCAGUGGACGCUGGUUUUGGAUGUGACGGGGUGGCGGCCCGCCUGUGGUAUGCGCUAGAAUCCGGCAGAAGGGACGGUUGCGUUCCCGCGGCGAUGGUGUGCUGGGGCGGAGAAACGGCCCACAUCAGCUGCGGCGGAGUCGGUGGUGCUGCUGCCGUGAACUUGCUCGAUAGCCUAGCCGCCGUGUCUCGCGCAGCGGUUUCCGAAACCGUCGAACCGGUAUCGCUCACUCCUAGGUGAUACGACGAGCACCGCUGGAAUUCUGACACGGGCUGUGGCUCACGAGGUAAAUGGGACGCUUGCUGGACAUCGUGGGACUUGCCCACAUGGCACGCGCAUACAGUAGCAUCUUCAGCCGUUCGGCCCUAAGACGCCGAAAAAAAGCCGCCUGGGACUGAAUCGGCGUUUGCUUGGCGCCUGGAGGCGAUUGGUUUCCAGUCGACGCCCUCAGGUCGCUGCCAAAAUCGUGCGAACUCGGCGAUAUUUCAUAGAAAUUUAAACAGACUCGACGAUCUUGCACAAACUCGGCGAUUCAUAGAAUUUGUAAAAAAAGAUAAACAUGCAAACUACGCCUAGAUUACGCCCCAGCUAUGCCGCGGCCGCCACCCGCCAUCUACAUGCCGAGGAGCCUGUAGAAACGGGUGUAAGUCGUCGCCGUCGUCGCGCGCCCCGCCGGAGCCGCCACCGUCCCUACUGCACCCCUCGCCAGGGUUGCCGAUGCGUGGUGGGGGGUUGGACGGCCCGGCCUCGCCCUCCUCGUCGGUGUCGAGGACGAUGACGCCGUCCUCCUCGCGUCCGCGGCACCGGGCCUGGAGCUCCGCGUAUGCUCGACGCUGGCGGAGCACCUGCUCACGGACGUAGUCCUCCCUCGCCCACUUGAGGGCGGCCUCGUCGUCGUGGGCCACCAUGUCCGCGGGCUUCGGCUUCACGGAGAGCAGCCCCGGCUCGGGCUUCGACCGGACCAGGCGGAGGGAGCGCGGGGAGGGACGCGGGGAGGGGCGGGCGCCCUCGUUGAUGACGAGGGCGCGGCGGCGGGUGCUGCGCCGAAGCGGCGUCUCCUCCGGCUCCGGCUUGACGGGGCGGAGCGCCGGCGAGCCGGAGGAGAGGGAGCCGGAACCCGACGAGGAGGACGUCCCCGGCUCCAUUCGCCGCGGCGUCCAGGAGCUGCCACGGCGGCUGUCGGCAUCCUGGGAACGGGGGUCCCCAGACUUGCCUGCCUGCGGCCCAUGGCGUGGCUCCACCAGCGGUCCUGUACACCCCAUCUUCACCAGCAAGCACUCAAGACCCUCGCGAGGGGCCAAGCCUCGCGAGGCGGACGACACAAGGGACGGCCUCACCAGGCCAGCUCGCGAGGGGCGGAUAGAUCAAGGCAAGGGACACCUCGCGAGGUUUCUGUGACGCAAGCCAUGAUGACUGGAGCCAGGCGGGCGCCAGCGCACGCAGUGUCCUCGUUUCCUCUUUGGUGCUAAAGAGGCAAGCGCAGGCGAGGAGUCCCAAGGCAUGAGGCAAAGGUUUCCAUAUCGGUGCAACGAGACCAAGACCAGCAGGACGGCAAGACGGAGAUCACCGUGGAGCCCAAGACGGCGUCACCACUAGAGCCUUUGGCAGGCGAAGACCACCUUUAGUCAGGAUAACUUGUACUAGUUGUCUCCCUUCGAAUUUGGCCGUUGUUGGAUCCCUUCCCGCUCAAUAUUUGGGGAGAGGGCCAGGGCCUCUAUAAAUAGAACUAGCCACCACCAUAGAAAGGGGGGAUUCGGCCUCAACGGAUCUGGAUCUCAUCUUGGAUCAGAGCCAUCCCAUCUACACAAGCUCACCAAGCACAAGAACACCUCUCCUCAGGAGGCUGUUCUUCCCUUGUAACUGUUAAUCCUCAGCCCAAGAGGCAAUCCACUGCACCACACUGGAGUAGGGUAUUACACCACAUCGGUGGCCCGAACUAAUAUAAACUCUUGUGUCUCUCGUUCUUUGGGCCCGACGAGCUUGGCCUUGCGAUUUGGCGAGAGCGAUCUAGGGAGAGAGAGAUCUUCGUGCGCACCCCAGUGUUCGAACCUCAAGGGUUUUGCCGGAACCCGAAAUCCGACAGCGGUGAAAGAACGACGGGCGCGGCGGGUACUCGAGGCGCGGCAUGUUGCCGGUCUCGAUAUGGUCGAGGACGGCCUCGAGGGUGCGGCCGAGCGCGCCCCAUCACUCGUGCCGCCCGUCACAGUUGAGGCGUCCGCGGGGGAUGAUGCCGUUGGUGGAGGCGAUCUGGUCUUCGCGGCGGCGUUCGAAGUACAUCGUCCAUAACGUGUGGCUGUCGGCGGCGUACCUCGGCUUGUUCCGCUGCGCCUUCGUCAGCGACGAGCGGAUGCCGGCGAUCUUGGCCUGCCGUGCAGCCCCUUCGGGCACCGGUGGCACUGGGAUGCCGGCGGCGCUCAACUUCCACGACCCCCGCACACGCAUGUCCGGGGGCGCCGGAUAGUCGGCCUCGUAGAGGUGGCGCGCCUCCUCCUCAUGGAGAUGGCGACGGCCGAAGCCGUUCGCCGCCGCGGCGUCACCGGGGUACCUCUCAGCCAUUGCUCGUCGGCGGGAAGAGGGGGAGUGUUGCUUUGUGUGGCGAUACGAGGCGAGGUGGGGCGACUAUGGCGUUCACCGACGGGGAGAUCGGCUUUUAUAACCGAAGCGGGGCGGUGAGAGCCUGCAUGCCGGGCGACGCGUGGCGGGAGCAGGUGGGACGCACGUCGGUGGCGCAUUCACUGCGCCGCCCAUGAGGCAUCAAUUGAGGCUGGCCAGCGCGGCAGCCUUGGCAUUGAUUCUCACGGGAACCGAGGCGAUGAGGACGACGAAGCGGCGUCUCGCUAACUCGGCGGGCCCAUCCCCGUCCGCGCCAAAAACGCGUCCCCCGGCGCCCCCAGGCGCCCCCCAGCACGCCUGUUUUAGCCUGGGUCCGGCGGCGCCAGUUUCGGCCCAAACCGGCAAAAACGGGCUCCUGGGGGCGCGACCGGGCCAUUUUUUGGGCGCCGGCAGCAAAAAAACGCCUGGGGAGGGCCUGUUGGGGGCGCGGCUGGAGAUGCUCUGAGCUCUCACACCCUACCACUAUGAAAAAUUAUUUUUUAUGUGGCAUAUAUGACAUGUGUCUUGUGGAUAGGGAGAACAUGGCGCCAAGCUCGUACGAGCGGGGAUAUAGUGAGAGCUUGCUCGCGUCCCCGAAAAAUUGGCGGGAGUAAUUCAGCCACCUCUCGUCGAUUGCCUCGCCCAAUUUAGUUUCCUUCGACUCACUGUCCGAAUCCGGCGCCACCCCCUUUGAGCUCUUCUUCCCGAGCUGCUUCUUCACCGACGAGCACAUAAGCGGUGCCAUCUUCUUCGGUCGGCGGUGGUCGGCAACAGCGAUCCUUCUUCCUCUUCUCCGAGAUGUUACUUGCCUCUCCCCUCCCUCUACCCUGAUGGUUUUAUAUAGCAUCACUCCCUACCCGCUGUAGCUUAGACUGUGAGCAUGUCAUAGAUUAGAUCCACAUGUGGUAUGGUAGGUUAUGCAAGUAGUGAGGAUGUCAUAGAUCGGAUGCUAGUGGUCUCGUUUUGGCUGUAUGGUGGGUUUUGCUUGUCGGUUAUGAUGAUACUCACGUUGUUGUGGUAGAUGUACAUGUUUUCCAUGACGAUUUCGAUGCUAACAUGGUAGUAUGUUGAGUUUGAAUUUUUUUGAACCGGGAUAAACCCUUUCCAUUGCAUAAGAACGGAAAUACAAUUGUUCCAGAGAUAAACAGGGGACAGGAAAGAAAGGGAAAGCGAGUUCAAUGCACUACUAGGAAACCCACCGCAUUCUCCCAUUGUCGAAACGAAUGCUAUGGGACAAAAACCUGGACAGCAAAAAAAAGUCUAGCCCUAUUACACACCUAGGGUGAGGGCAGGAAUUGAUGCAGAGUAACAAGUUCACCAUAUUGUGCGAUGGUAAUAUGUUGAGUUUGAUGAUCAGUCCAUGUGUACUAUGGUAGAUGUGGUACUCUUUUGAACUUCAUGAUAAGUCCAUACUAGGUUGCUAGAUGUGUUAUUGUGUUGAGCUUCAUGAUCAGUCCAUGUGCUUGUUUAGCUAGUCUUGAUGCUAACCAGCAUAGGACAUAACCAUCAAAGACUCGGGCCCUUAUUUUGUCGCACUCGCAUACCUUUUCCUCCUAUGUUGAGGACUCUCAACCAUUGCCUCCGAGUGUAGAGGCAUUUGAGGGGCCUGCGAUAGCCUCUUUAGUGGUGGUGAUAUCUACGAUAUCUGCUAUUCGGCCAUUAAGGUUGGCAAGACAGGGGGUCAAUGAAGGGGAAUACAAUAAAAUGUCAGCCUUUCCUAUCCUCGUUCGUCGUGAACAAGAUGUGUGAUAUCAUCACUAGUAGGGUUAGGACUAAUAAGGGCUUCAAGGAUAUGCACUUGAACACUGUGCAAAGAUGAUGUUUGAGUUAUGUGGCACAGAGGUGACCUUAACACAAGUGUACAUCCAUCUUAGGUGGUGAAGAGCAAAAUGUGUCCAACUGUCUAAGCGUAGACCUUAUUGAUGCGUGAUAACCCACAAGUGUAGGGGAUCGUUUGUAGCCUUCUUCGAUAAAUAAGAGUGUCAAACCCAACGAGGAGCUAAAGGCAGAACAAAUAUUCCCUCAAGUUCUAUCGACCACCGAUACAACUAUAUGCACACUUGACAUUUGCUUUACCUAAAACAAGUAUGAAACUACUUUGCAAAAAUAAAACUACGAGUACUUUGCGAGAAUAAAACUAAGAAUAAAUUGCAAGGUCAUAAAAGUAGAUAGCUUUUGUCAAAGAAGAAAGUCAUUUGUCCCUAGGCAAUCGAUAACUAGACCGGUAAUCAUUCUUGCAAUUUAUAUGAGGGAGAUGCAUGAGCUGACAUACUUUCUCUACUUGGAUCAUAUGCACUUAUGAUUGGAACUCUAGCAAGCAUAUGCAACUACAAAAGAUCAUUAAGGUCGUAAAACGCAACCAUAACAUUAAGUAUCAAGUCCUCUUUACUCCCAUACGCGACAACCUACUUAUCCGUGUUUAGGCUUCUGUCACUCCCGCAACCGACAAUAAGCGAAUCAUGAACAUAUUGCAACACCCUACAGCGAGGAUCCCUCCGUUUGCGCGACAUGGAGGGCACCAUAGGACAACACCAUAAAUAAAAUAUACAAUCAUACCAACCAAGAUCACGAUUAGCCCACAUGACAAAAUGAUUCUACUCAAACAUCAUAGGAUAACCACGUACCAUUGGGAAAUAAUAUAUAGUGUUGAGCACCAUGUUUAAGUAGAGAUUACAAUGGGGAGAAGGGGUGUUACACCGCUGCAUAGAGGGGGAAGAAAGUUGGUGUUGAUGGUAGCAAGAUUGUUGAUGUAGAUCGCUGUCACGAUCCUUGCCCCGGCUGUCACAGCCCUAGCUUAGGCUUUGCUUGUCCUUGCAUGAUCAUCAUGUCAUCAUGUUUAAUUUUCUCGGGAAGUUGAAAUGGGGAUGACAGAAACCCCCAGCACCACUUAAACCAACUAGGGUUACUAAAAUACUUUUUCAAUGAACCUGAAAUGCCCUUCUAAAAUGUUCAUCAUCUUUGCCUUGGUCUAGAACCUCUGUCAAAAAUGGUUCACAUUUUUCUAGGACAACAUUGGGUCACUGAAUUAAAUCAUACUCUAUUUGCAUUUGGGCAUUUAAAUGCUAUAUAAUAUUUUAAAUGUCCAAAUAAUCAUGAACUAAUAUGUUUACUAUUGGAAAUAUUCCAAACAGUGGGAUUAAGAAGUUUCAUGAUUUUUGAGUUAGUUUUAGUAUUUUAAUUAAAGCCCUAAAAUCAUAGAAGAAUUAGAAAACAAAAAUAAAAAGGAAAGGACAGAAAACCUACCUAACUUACCUGCAGCCCAUCUGGCGCCCAGCUGGCCCAGCACUGUGUGGCCCACUGGCUCACAGUGCCAGACAUCACCAACCUCCCGCCAGAGCAGGCAGGCUGCUGCCUGUCGCUCGCACGCCGCCCCUGGCCACCUCUUGCUUCUGCCGACGCCUGGACGGCUCCAGACGACGCCAUGCGUGCCCCCUGACCUCUCUCUCUCACGCCCGCAGCUCCUCCCCUCCUCUGGCUCCCUCCCCCUCUCUUCCCGAGCGCACCAGAGGGCGCCGACGUGCUCUGCCGUGGCCACCGGCCACCCCACGCCUCGCCGACGCGUCCAGAAGCUCCGCCACUUCUUCCUCGACCGCCUCACCGAGCCAUGCGACUGGAAGAGCCCCGAAGCGCCGCCCCCGAUGUUUUCCCCCUCCUCAGCCGCCGGAGAUCGGCCUCGCCGCCCCACUCAGCUCCGGCCUUCCCCGAGCCCGCUUCGACGCCCGCCGCAACCGCCGUGAGCUGCUGCUCCUUCUCCCCCUCUCCGUUUUCUCGUUUGCACGCCGCAGCUGCCGCUUCGCCGACGACCGAAACCCGCUGCCGCCCGUACUCACCGCCGACGACGCUCCGGUGACCAUUUGGUCCCGGGUGCGUGUCCACCUAGUUUGCCGCCCUGCGCUGAGCCUCGCUAGCGCCUCCCCUUGCCCGCUUGCACCCUGCAGCCCCGCUCCCGCACACCUCCGAGCUCCGGCCGCCGCCCGACUUGUCGCCGCUGCCCUUACAGGCCGCCCCAAUGCACACCGCGGCCACCAGUAGAUGCGCCGCACCGCGGGCUUUCGAACGCGCCCAGCCGCGCGUCCAGCCGACGCCGGAGUUGGCCGGACGGGUGCUACCUCUUGAGAACUGCGUUGGUUUUUCCUUGAAGAGGAAAGGGUGAUGCAGCAAAGGAGCUCCAGAACAGGCCCCAAGAUGGGAUCUCAUGGGUACAGAAGGUUGCGGCGGUGGAAUUAGGUUUUCGGCUCCGUAUCUGAUCGUUUGGGGGUACGUAGGUAUAUAUAGGAGGAAGGAGUACGUCGGUGGAGCAACAGGGGGCCCACGAGGGUGGAGGGCGUGCCCUGGGGGGUGGGCGCGCCCCCUACCUCGUGGCCUCCUCUUUUGUUUCUUGACGUAGGGUCCAAGUUUCCCGGAUCAUAUUCUUCCUAAAAAUCACGUUCCCGAAGGUUUCAUUCCGUUUGGACUCCGUUUGAUAUUCCUUUUCUGCGAAACUCUGAAAUAGGCAAAAAAACAACAAUUUUGGGCUGGGCCUCCGGUUAAUAGGUUAGUCCCAAAAAUAAUAUAAAAGUGGAUAAUAAAGCCCAAUAAUGUCCAACACAGUAGAUAAUAUAGCAUGGAGCAAUCAAAAAUUAUAGAUACGUUGGAGACGUAUCAACGGGCAUCGCCACCGCGCUCCGGUUAUCGCCGGAGUUAAUCCGGUGAUGUGGCGGAUUAGGUUAGCCACUAACCCCGCGGUUAGUUUUAACCUGUGACUCUGACAGUGGGCCCGACCCUGUUAAACUUUAGUUUAGGUUUAUUUUUUUAAAACCUGUUAGUUAACUGGGUCAUUGACAUGUGGGACCCACGGGUCAGGUUUGACCCGUACCAGCCCAGUUGACUUGCUGACAUCAUCAUGACGUCAGGAGGGCGCAGUAAUUAUUUUCUAGAAUUUUGAAAUAAAUCAGAAAUGAUUUAUUAUUUUCAGAAAAUACCCAAAACUUCUAAAAAAUCAUAUAAAAUCAACCGUAGCUCAGAAUGAAAUAAAUUAUAUAUGAAAAAUGAUCAGAAAAAUUCAAUCUAUCCAUCUGUACCAUUUUCAUGCAUGUUUGAACGACUUAAAGUUGCUGUAUAAGACAAUUUGAAUAAAUGGCAUUUGAAAUGCCUUACAUGGAGUUUGAAUUUGAACCUAGUGUUCAAACCAACUCCAUUUAACUUGUUGCUAGUUGCAUUAGGCCAAUCAACAGCAUAUUGCCAUGUCACAUUCAUGCAUCAUAUUGUUGCAUGGCAUUGAUUGUGUUUCUUCUUUGUUUGUCGAUGGUUGUCCCCUCUCGAUAGACGUGUUCGGACGACGUGAUCGAUGACACCGAUGAAGAGCUAUACUAUCUUCGGAAGUGCCAGGCAAGCAUAACCCCCUUGUUCAUUCCGAUACAAUCCCACUCUCUCGCUCCUGCUCUCUUUUACUACAUUAGGACAACAACGAUUCAACUGUUACAUGCUGCGGUAGUUGAACCCCUUUCCUCUGCAUGACUUGUCAUUGCCAUAGUAAAUAGAUGAAACCCACUAGUAUGAGUAGGAGUUGUUUGAGCCCUGAUGUGCCUACUCAUUCAUGCUUGUUUGUCAUGCCUGCUACUGCUUAGAGUUGAGUCAGGUCUGAUUCAUCGGGGAUGAAUUGGAAUGGUGAUGAACAUGUCCUACUGUGUGUGAGCUAAGUGUGUGAACACGAUUUGGUAAAGGUAGCGGUGAGAGGCCAUGUAGGAGUACAUGGUGGGUUUUCUCAUUGGAACCGUCCUCAGGAACUGAGUUCCGUGUUUGUGAUCCAUGAACAGCUACUACCAUGCAUUGGGCCCUGAAAUAUGACACCGCUCGACUUCUUAACCACACUAGUCCUCUGUCCAGGAGUUGCAAGUAGUUUCUGGUGUUUGUAGUAUACUGGAGGCCGUGGGCAGCGCUGACCCGCGGGGUGGGCUGUGAUGCGGUAGGUACGUGGCACGGUGUACCGGACACCCGUUUGGUGUCUCAGGAACCCUGCACACAUCGUCUGGGGCCGUAUGUGGAAACCUCGGCCGGACUCCCUGCGGAUGGAACCUGGAUAGGCGAUAAACCUGGACUAGAGACUUGAGUGUUUAGGUAGGUCGUGGUCUACACCCACGUCGGCUUUCGCUUGAAGUCUGUCGAGCACAUGUCGUGUGCAGACCCUAAGUGGUGGAAACAUGUAUGAAGAAGUACACCCCUGCAGGGUUAAUAUCAUCUAUUCGAAUAGCCGUGUCCGCGGUAAAGGACUUCUGGGUUGCCUGUACAGUUCAUAGAUAACUUGAAGUGGAUACUCUAAAACUCGCAAGAUAAGCAUGAGUGCUAUGGAUGGCCUUCUCGUAGGGAGACGGGAGCGGAUCCAUAGUGGUGUAUUGAUAUGGUGAAUAUGUGGACUCGUGUGCGCCACCUCAAAAGAGUUACUUGCAGUCAUAGUUUAGGAUAGCCACUGAGUCAAAGCUGGCUUGCUGCAGUCAAACUCCACCACCCCCUUUGUUGAUAUUAAUGCAUAUGUAGCUAGUUCUGAUGUAAGUCUUGCUGGGUACAUUUGUACUCACGUUUGCCUAUUUUAUGUUUUUUUGCAGAGAGACGUCAGUCUCGCUAGUAGUUCUGCGUGGACUCCGAUGUUUAGCUUGUUACCUCAGCUACGAUCUUGUGCCCUCGGCAGGGUCUUGUAGAUAGUCAGGCUUCUCAGCCUUCUUCAUUUGUAGUUGUCUGUACUCAAACAAGUUAAGCUUCCGCAUGUGCUUCUUGUUUGUAUGCUCUGUAUGUUGGGGUCAUGAGACCCAUGUUUGUAAUACUUGGCUCCUCGGAGCCUAAUGAAUAAAUACUUGGGUCGUAGAGUUAUGUUGUGA